rfam:Aspergillus glaucus CBS 516.65 unplaced genomic scaffold ASPGLscaffold_6, whole genome shotgun sequence.
GGCAAGGUGGCCGAGUGGUUAAGGCGGCAGACUUAAGUCAGAGACAAAUCUGAGGUUUCUGCUGAUCGUAAGAUCUCGUGGGUUCGAACCCCACCCUUGUCA